AUGAGAUGCCACACUGUGACAUGCAUGCGGCACAUUGCUGAUGAAAUGGUCACAGGAAGACAACACGGAACCCUCUAAGCAUGAUCAGAAGAAGCCUAAUUAAGCUCUGUGGUUAAUUUUAAAGACCUGUUGUCAGAAGUGUAUCAAGGAACUUCAGUCUGGCUUUCGAAAGUGCUGAACACACAAAACUCCUUAUGAGAUCUCCAGGAAUUACAGGGCCAAGAAUUUGUCUCUGGAGACUGGCACUCAUAAUUUA